AUUUUCUUAAUUACAUUUCCUCACAUGGGCAUUUUAUUAUAAACCCCUAUUAUUAUAUGAUAAUGGCAGAAACACCCUUCAUAGGAAAUCAAGGGACGCCUACCUCCAUCUUUCUUUCUUUCUUUUCCGUCUUAAGAGUUUCUUACAGUUCUCUUUCUCUCCAACCGAAGCUACAGGCACCACCCUCGCUAUGAAGAUAAUAGCUAGUCCAUUGAUCAAGGCAUAUAUCGUAAAUGUACCUGAAAGCACACACAGUUACAAAAUACACAAGAAACAAUCUCAGUAACUAUCAUUCCUCACCAGCCAUCUAGGAGACUCUGGAAUGAAGAGAAGACCCACAAGCAUAAUGGCACAAGGGAUUGAUGCUGCAAAUCAAUUCACUUAGUCCAUCUUCACAGUUCCACCCUACAGAGAGAAUAAUGCUAGGUUGCGCCAUGGUAGAAGUGGUCCUAUCAAAAAUGAAGUAGAAACUCCGCAGGAAAUCAUAAGCUGUUGAAAAAGUCGAAAGUCUGAACCUGAUUCAAUAUUGUCAAGGCUCCUUGAAGAUUCUUAGGUGCUAUUUCAGCUAUGAAAAUAGAAUGAAGAAGAAGAAGAAGAAGACAUUGAGAUUAGCGAAAUUGCUGCUUAUAUAAGAAUUAAAGAGAGUCAGUAACUGUCAAGACUUUCACGUGUGUGUACGGACACAUAGUAUUCUUAAAAUAUAAUUGAAAUGGACCCCGACUGAUAUACUCCAAGCCUCUUGUAAGACAUCAUAUGUGGAAGUCUUGGCGACAGGGGUGAGCCAUUUUGGAAUCAUGAAUUCUUGUGGGUGAAUGCAGUCCCAAGGGUUAAGAGGGGUGGAUUCCGGUUUCAGGUAAUUUUUUACGGAAUACAGUUGAUAUCUGUACAUCCCAGACAUGUAUGGCUGAAUAUGCCCCACGUUUGGAGUAACCUUUUUGAAUCUUGACCUACUCAUUGUAGCUUUUUGUACACCCGCUGUCUUAUGAAAUUGAACAAAAUUACUGUAUGAGUUGGAUUACUUUUAGGUAGAAUAUGUGGCUUCUGUCUGACCAGUACUGCUGCUUUGGCAAAGGCUCUUGGUCUACCACAAAGUAGUGUACAGUGGUUGGGGUUUUAGUGUUGUAUUGUUGUUAUAGCAACCAGCUUAAAAUGUCGUUUCUUAAUCAAUGAAAUAAUAUCUCCAUGGAAAUUGAUUU